rnacentral:rRNA from 1 species
AUGCAUGAUCAGGUCGGCCUGGACCUGGACGGCUUCCCUCUCGACAAUGAGUUUCUGAAGGACUACGGGCUACAGGAAGAGGACGAGUGCGAGUGUGACAUCGAAGGGGAGCCUUUGUUCGAGGACGAUCUCGCCAACCAAGCCAUCGGGUCGAAGCCGAAGCGUAAGAGCAAGCAGACCAAGGCCUACACGGCGGCCGAGGACAAGAUUGUUUGCGAGUGUUGGAGAGACAUUGGGCAAGACCCCAAGACGGGCGUCGAACAAAAGCAUUCAACCUUUUGGAUUCGUGUCCACCGUGAGUUCCAUGAGCGCAAGAAGUUUCCGCCAUACCAAAUAGUAAGCGCGGGGGGUGGGUGUCCAUUUCGAAGCAAUGGAGCGUGA